AACAACGCCGUUCCGCGCCUUUUUCGCCCUUACGCUUCGGCCUCUUGAAGUUUGCGAGGCGAGGCGAAGCGACGACGAAAACCCUAACCCUAGAGUCCCAUGCCUCGUGACUCUAUAAAAAUCCGACGGCGUCAUGAUCCUCCCCCCCAUCGCCGAGCAUUGAGCUCCUCGCGACUCUCAGUCAGUGGGAGGAUCUGUCUUUGAAGAGGGCAAAUGACGAGCUUUUUCUAGUGAUUGAGUACUCAUGCUCUGCUUUUGAGUAUAAUGAUUCAACACUUUGAAUAGGAAGAUCUGAUGCUUCUCUUCUCUGAUGUUUUUCUCAUCAUAUUAGUUUUGUUUUUCGUUAUCGAUUUAAACAGAAGCCAGUGAUGACGAACUUUAAUAAAAUCCUGAAGGCAAGUUUUUAUGGGCUUGGCUUUUGGUGUUGAAAUUUCUGAACUAGGACGGUCUGAGGCUUUUUCUGUGUAUAACUGUGCGUUCUUGCUCACACGUGUGUAUCUGUUUCCUCCAUUUCUCAAUCAAUAGAUGGUAUUGAUCGGUGCCAUGCAAAUGGUGGAAUAAGAGUCAAACAAUUGUCUUGUUUUGUUUGGUCUUUUGUUUUUUUUUGGUCGUCUGUUCAUCUUUGUUUCAGAAAGCAAAAAGUUGUGGAUGAUGAGACAUAAAAAUUACAGUUAUCCCUGGCUGAUGUAUCAGGUGCUGAAAUAUGUAAAUCUGACACAACCACUAUACUUCUGUUUGCUUGCUUGAAAAAUUGGAGGGCGGAACAUUU